GACGAACGCUGGCGGCGUGCUUAACACAUGCAAGUCGAACGGAAAGGCCCUGCUUUUGUUGGGUGCUCGAGUGGCGAACGGGUGAGUAACACGUGAGUAACCUGCCCUUGACUUUGGGCUAACUUCAGGAAACUGGGGCUCAUCACAGAUUGGUGCUCCUGCUGCAUUGUGGGGGUAGGAUCGUUUCGGCGGUUGGGGACGGACUCGCGGAUUAUCAGCUGGUUGGUGAGGUAAUGGCCGACCAAGGCGAUGAUCGGUAGCCGGCCUGGGAGGGUGACCGCCCACACGGGGAGUGAGAAACGGACCAGACUCCUACGGGAGGCAGCAGUGAGGAAGAUUGAUCAAUGGGUGCAAGCCUGAACCAGCCAGCCCGCGUGAAGGACGACUGCCCUAUGGGUUGUAAACUUCUGUUGGAUAGGGAUAAACCUACCCUCGAGAGGGUAGCUGAAGGUACUAUACGAAUAAGCACCGGCUAACUCCGUG
rnacentral:rRNA from 1 species